rnacentral:tRNA from 1 species
GUUAAUGUAGCUUAAUGAUUAAAGCAAAGCACUGAAAAUGCUUAGAUGGAUUUUUUCCAAAUCCCAUAAACA